rnacentral:rRNA from 1 species
ACGCUGAAGGAGGAGCUUGCUUCUCUGGAUGAGUUGCGAACGGGUGAGUAACGCGUAGGUAACCUGCCUGGUAGCGGGGGAUAACUAUUGGAAACGAUAGCUAAUACCGCAUAAUAGUAGAUGUUGCAUGACAUUUGCUUAAAAGGUGCAAUUGCAUCACUACCAGAUGGACCUGCGUUGUAUUAGCUAGUUGGUGGGGUAACGGCUCACCAAGGCGACGAUACAUAGCCGACCUGAGAGGGUGAUCGGCCACACUGGGACUGAGACACGGCCCAGACUCCUACGGGAGGCAGCAGUAGGGAAUCUUCGGCAAUGGACGGAAGUCUGACCGAGCAACGCCGCGUGAGUGAAGAAGGUUUUCGGAUCGUAAAGCUCUGUUGUAAGAGAAGAACGAGUGUGAGAGUGGAAAGUUCACACUGUGACGGUAUCUUACCAGAAAGGGACGGCUAACUACGUGCCAGCAGCCGCGGUAAUACGUAGGUCCCGAGCGUUGUCCGGAUUUAUUGGGCGUAAAGCGAGCGCAGGCGGUUAGAUAAGUCUGAAGUUAAAGGCUGUGGCUUAACCAUAGUACGCUUUGGAAACUGUUUAACUUGAGUGCAAGAGGGGAGAGUGGAAUUCCAUGUGUAGCGGUGAAAUGCGUAGAUAUAUGGAGGAACACCGGUGGCGAAAGCGGCUCUCU